GAGAGUCGCAGAUACCAGGUGGCUGCAACUGUUUAUUAAAAACACAGCACUGUGCAAAAUCGUAAGAUGACGUAUACGGUGUGACGCCUGCCCGGUGCCGGAAGGUUAAUUGAUGGGGUUAGACUUCGGUCGAAGCUCUUGAUCGAAGCCCCGGUAAACGGCGGCCGUAACUAUAACGGUCCUAAGGUAGCGAAAUUCCUUGUCGGGUAAGUUCCGACCUGCACGAAUGGCGUAAUGAUGGCCACGCUGUCUCCACCCGAGACUCAGUGAAAUUGAAAUCGCUGUGAAGAUGCAGUGUACCCGCGGCUAGACGGAAAGACCCCGUGAACCUUUACUACAGCUUGGCACUGAACAUUGACCCUACAUGUGUAGGAUAGGUGGGAGGCUUUGAAGCACGUACGCCAGUAUGUGUGGAGCCGUCCUUGAAAUACCACCCUUGUAGUGUUGAUGUUCUAACGUCGACCCCUUAUCGGGGUUGCGGACAGUGCCUGGUGGGUAGUUUGACUGGGGCGGUCUCCUCCCAAAGAGUAACGGAGGAGCACGAAGGUGGGCUAAUCACGGUUGGACAUCGUGAGGUUAGUGCAAUGGCAUAAGCCCGCUUGACUGCGAGAAUGACAAUUCGAGCAGGUGCGAAAGCAGGUCAUAGUGAUCCGGUGGUUCUGAAUGGAAGGGCCAUCGCUCAACGGAUAAAAGGUACUCCGGGGAUAACAGGCUGAUACCGCCCAAGAGUUCAUAUCGACGGCGGUGUUUGGCACCUCGAUGUCGGCUCAUCACAUCCUGGGGCUGAAGUCGGUCCCAAGGGUAUGGCUGUUCGCCAUUUAAAGUGGUACGCGAGCUGGGUUUAGAACGUCGUGAGACAGUUCGGUCCCUAUCUGCCGUGGGCGUUGGAAGAUUGAAGGGGGCUGCUCCUAGUACGAGAGGACCGGAGUGGACGAACCUCUGGUGUUCGGGUUGUGUCGCCAGACGCAUUGCCCGGUAGCUAAGUUCGGAAUCGAUAACCGCUGAAAGCAUCUAAGCGGGAAGCGAGCCCUGAGAUGAGUCUUCCCUGAUACUUUAAGUAUCCUAAAGGGUUGUCGGAGACUACGACGUUGAUAGGUCAGGUGUGUAAGUGCUGUGAGGCAUUGAGCUAACUGAUACUAAUUGCCCGUGAGGCUUAACCAUACAACACCCAAGGGGUUU
rnacentral:rRNA from 1 species